UUUGAUCCUGGCUCAGAUUGAACGCUGGCGGCAGGCCUAACACAUGCAAGUCGAACGGUAACAGGAAGUGCUUGCACUUCGCUGACGAGUGGCGGACGGGUGAGUAAUGCUUGGGAACUUGCCUUUGCGAGGGGGAUAACAGUUGGAAACGACUGCUAAUACCGCAUAAUGUCUUCGGACCAAACGGGGCUUCGGCUCCGGCGCAAAGAGAGGCCCAAGUGAGAUUAGCUAGUUGGUAAGGUAAAGGCUUACCAAGGCAACGAUCUCUAGCUGUUCUGAGAGGAAGAUCAGCCACACUGGAACUGAGACACGGUCCAGACUCCUACGGGAGGCAGCAGUGGGGAAUAUUGCACAAUGGGGGAAACCCUGAUGCAGCCAUGCCGCGUGUGUGAAGAAGGCCUUCGGGUUGUAAAGCACUUUCAGUUGUGAGGAAAAGUUAGUAGUUAAUACC
rnacentral:rRNA from 3 species